AGCGGGAUGGCUGAGAGUAAGAUAGGCGAUAGGCUGUAAAUCUAUUUAGGAGCGUUAUAUUGCUCUUCCGCUA
rnacentral:tRNA from 1 species